AGUCUGUGGGGGGGAUGGGGAACUGAAGACAAGCACAGGGAAGGGGGAGCAGAGAACCCCGGAAGGGUAGGGAACAGGGAGUCCUAACAACAGGCUCUGUUCCUAGUCCAUGUGACCCUGAAAGGUCCAGGCCCAGGAUGAACUCAGCUCAGAGAGACAACGGACAACAGAACUGACCUGGCUGGGCCAUCAAUCAGGGUUUGGGAGCAGUGCUGGAGCCCAAGCUCUUUUCCACAGAGAGAGGACAGAGCCGACAACAGAUCAUGGAGCCCCCCUCAGCCCUUCCCCCAAUGUGUGUCCCCUGGCAGGGGCUUCUGUUUACAGCCUCACUGCUAACCAUCUGGAACAUCCCCACCUCUGCGAAGCCCACUAUUGAGUCGGUGCCACCUGCUGUUCUCGAAGGGAAGAACGUCCUUCUACUUGCUCACAACCUGCCUGACAACCUAUUAGCCUAUCACUGGUUCAAAGGAAAACGGCCGAUAGACAACGAUCUAAUUAUAAUGUAUGAACUAAAAUCUCAAGAAACAAAACAAGGAACACUAUAUAGCGGGAGAGAGACACUGUACCCUAAUGGAUCCUUGAUGUUACAGAAUGUCACCUUGAAGCAAUCUGGAAUCUACAGCCUAAAUAUCCAUUCUGCAGAUGACCAAAAAUCAUUGUUUGUAGAAGUCUUUGUGUACCCUCUCUUAAGCAAGCCCUCCAUAACAAGCAACAGGACCACUGCUGUGGAGGGUCAAGACACUGUUGAGUUAACUUGCGAACCUCCCUUCCAGAAAACAACCUACCUGUGGCAUCUAAACGGUAAGAAGCUUCACAUUGGCGACCGCGUCGUCCUGUCUCGGGGUAAUGCAACUCUCACUUUGUUCAAGGUCUCUAGGCAUUUCAGAGGACACUAUGAGUGCGAAGCUAAGAACCCGCUGAGUGCCUUCCAUAGUGACCCGUUCACUCUGGAUGUUUUCUAUGGCCCAGAUACCCCCGAAAUAUUUCCCCCAAACAAAUACUUUGAGGAAGGCAAGAGCAUGUGGAUCUCCUGCCAAACAGUGUCUCACCCCAAAGCACACUAUUCCUGGAAUAUCAAUGGAAAACCCUGGAAUUCUAGACAAGAGAUAUCUAUCUACCAGGUCGGCAUACGUAAUAAUGGACUGUAUACCUGCCUCGUCAAUAACCCAGCGACUGGCCGCAAUAAUUCCAAAGACAAAGAAGUUAUAAUAGUUGAGAAAUUGCCAAAGCCCCAUAUCCAAGUCAAAAACGAAACAGUCUUAGAACGUCAUUUUGUGGACCUGACCUGCGUACUGGAAAAUACUGGAGUUUCCAUCGGGUGGAUAUUCAACAAUCAGAAACUGAAGGCCACAGAUAGAGUGUCGUUCUCCUGGAACAACAGAAGGCUCACCAUAGACCCAGUCACCAAGGAGGAUGCCGGAGCAUACCAGUGUGAGGUCUCCAACCCCCUCAACACCAGGCAGAGUGAUCCAGUCAAGCUGGCUGUGCUCUAUCAACCGUCAAAAAAUUUCCUGUUGUCACCCCUGAUUGUGGCUAGCUUGGCUGCUGAAGUCCUGGCUGGGCUGGCUAUCCUAGGAAGCCUGGUGUAUUUGGUGUUUCUCAAGAAGUUUGACAAUCGGGAAAGCCGCAAAAGAAUACACGGGGAGGAACAAAAGAACUGGACGAGAGCAAAAGAGUAGUACAGAAAGNNNNNNNNNNNNNNNNNNNNNNNNNNNNNNNNNNNNNNNNNNNNNNNNNNNNCCCUCAGUUGCUGGAGGUCCUCACCUCUUCCCGGCCACAGGAGACCAGGUCACAGGCCCCACAACAACUCUCCUUGAGUGUGAGGUGGAUGGCGUCUGUCCAGAACACCAAAACCCAGCAACCCAACCAGCCAACUUCAGCCCCCAGGCUAUAGCAGUCAUGGAACUGGGCCCCCAGGCUAUAGCAGUCAUGGAACUGAUUUUCUGAAGUU
ensembl:processed_transcript Gm5893 predicted gene 5893